UGAUUUUUUUCUUAGUCAAACUUCUUUGGAUUUGAUCAAGUUUGUAGAAAAAUAUAAGUAACAUUUUCAAUAUAAAAUAAACAUAUUAUCAAAAUAUAUUUAAUGUUAGAUGUAAUGAAACUAAAUUAGUGUUGUAGAUGUUGCUAAUUUUUUCUAUAAACUCGGUCAAACCUAAAGAACUUUGACUAAGAAAAAAAUCAA
rnacentral:pre_miRNA from 1 species